rnacentral:rRNA from 1 species
AUUGAACGCUGGCGGCAGGCCUAACACAUGCAAGUCGAGCGAGUGGCGGACGGGUGAGUACUGUCUGGGGAUCUGCCCGAUAGAGGGGGAUAACUACUGGAACCGGUGGCUAAUACCGCAUACUAUCGGCUGAGCCCAUAUGGGAUUAGCUAGUGGGUGGGGUAAAGGCUCACCUAGGCGACGAUCUCUAGCUGGUCUGAGAGGAUGAUCAGCCACACUGGAACUGAGACACGGCCCAGACUCCUACGUGAGGCAGCAGUGGGGAAUAUUGCACAAUGGGCGCAAGCCUGAUGCAGCCAUGCCGCGUGAAUGAAGAAGGCCUUCGGGUUGUAAAGUACUUUCAGCGGGGAGGCGUUACCCGCAGAAGAAGCACCGGCUAACUCCGUGCCAGCCGCCGCGGUAAUAC